UAUAAUUAGGUACGAUGUUUCUUUUUAAACAUAUAUUGUGUAUUAUAGCAACUUAUAUGUCUCUCUUGCGAUUGAUAGUGUGACAGGCCGCCUGGUUUCCAGACUGUUAUGAAAUGAUGUAUGUCUUUUCAUUUCAUUUGAGCGAUUUGUUUGCGAAGAUUCUGUAAUAUAUAAUAUGUUCAAAUACUCGAAAACGGUGAAAUAAUUAAUUAUCCAGGAUUCAUUUUAAAUCUUUUCUAUUGUGUUUCAGAAAUUGAAACAUGACAAAUUAUAGAAUUAACGUUGUAUUGUAGUUACAAAAUGACACUGGCACUGUAAGAGGCCUAACUUUGUAAUAAUACAGUAAUUUCAAAAUGAACUGUUAUAUUAUCCACUAGUCAACCUAAGAUAUAACCGUUACUGUACUAUCAAAGGAAACGGAGAUCGUCCGUCCUGGUACUUUAAAGCAUUUGACCUUGACAUUGAUUUAAAUCGGUGACUGUGACUAGCCUUAAACAAACCAUGAUACUUUGCCCACAGCAGUUCAGAAUAUAGUAACAUAUUAGUGGAAAUCCUACCGAUUUUCCAUCAUGUCCGCAACAUGUUAAAUUUUAGUUGAUGGUUUAGAAUUUUUUUUAAGAAUUUUUAAAGGUUACUUUCACAUUUAUAAAUUACUUAUAUCAAAAUAUAGAUAUGAUUAAAAACGAUUCAUCGGAACACAGUAGAAGAGGUACUGAGCACAGCGAAACCGAGAGAGUAGGCGAAUCAAAUGCCGUCAAAUUUGAGCAACAAGAAAUCGCCUUCAAAUGCGACGAGAUAAAUAAGCGUUCGAUUGGCCGGGCUAUCAUCAAAUUCUGUGGAAACGAAGGUACUCAAAAUGACACCAAUAAAGCUACCCUAAGGAGACUUAUGCAAGCUGUCAUUUCACAUAUUGAACAGGAAAAACCAGACACUUGGAAGAAUGCCGAAGUUAAGAUAUAUGAUGACAAUUUUGAAGUUUACUCAAUCCGUUCUGGCAACGGUCAUGCAUUGUUUCUAGCAACAUUUGAUGGUCUUGAAAACCCUCAAGUUAUAAAGACAAGCAGGUCCAGGAUCGAGUCAAAUCGGGUUCAAGGGAAACAGUGCUCACUUAUGUAGCCUUUGAAUAAAGUAUAUAUUUUAUAGAAAAUACUUUGGAAGUUUGUAAUCAAUGAGUGGAAAUGUUAGUAUAUUUACUAGUGUUUUUGUUCAAUUUGAAAUGUGUCAACAAGCUGCCAACGAUUUAACAAAAGAUCUUUACGAUAAGGUUAAUUUCAAAAUUACGCAACAAACUAGCUUUGUUUUAUAGAAUAUAUUUUGUAUUCGCAUAAACAGUAAAAAGAACUGAAUAAAUCUUGCUGAUGAAUAAUGUUAAUAUGUAAUAUCUCGGUAGAUUACAGUCGUGUACAUUUUUAUGUUGCUGGCGUUAUCUGCAUCAGUCAUUUUAAAUCCUGUAAAAACUUUUUACUAACCUCUUUUCGGCAAAGCAAAUCUCUGCCCACUGUUUGAUUUGACUCUUCCGCAAAAAGGGCGUCUUUCAUUUUAAUUGUAAUAUAAAACAAUAUAGUUUUUUGUUAUGCAUCUUGUCUGAGAAGUUUCAACUCUAAUACUGGUAUUAGGAACUCUUCUUAUUCUUUAAUAUUCUUGAUUAGUUUUGAAUUUUUCUUCUUAUAAAUGAUUUUUAUCAUGAUUAUCUGCCCCCCGAUUGGAGACGUAGAUAGGAAUAUUCAGUUCGAAGGUAAAAGUUUUUAAAGGCUUAACAGUCACUACAGCCAGUGGUAGAUUAUUAAUAAUUUAUUAUUGUUUGGAUACAGUUUCUAAUCUUGUUUAGCUCUUUGGGUUUCCAAUCAAACCAACUUUUCAUAUGAUUAACGAUUGCAAACAGGGAGAAUUCCUUUAGUGGAAUGAAAUGGCCUUGCAAUCAAACCGGUAAACAAAAAUCUUCCAGUAUCCGGACGUGCUACAAAAUCACAAACAUCGGCUGCCCUACUACCUAAAUCUUCAUGACAGCUUGUUCUUAAAUCGUUUUGCACCUGUCUCCUUUUCAACCACUCUGAGAUACAUUUCAUUGUUGUUUAUCCCUGUUUCCACAUAUCGCCUCAACCUUGCUCUCUGCCCCGGAUAUAUAUUAUGGUUAUUGUCCUUGGCAAAAGAUAUGGCUUUCAGCCAAAGCUUGUAAUAAGGACAUCUUACAUUUCGAAAGUCUAAAGGUUUAAAGACUUAAAAUUCCCCUUAAUCUUUAAUCUAAACUCAACAAACUUGUUACGUGGAAAUCUAGAUAAUCUAGAUAUAAUAGGAUGAGUCUAAUUUAGCCUUGACAGAUAAAGAUAAAAUAUGAAAAGAAGAUACAAUACCCAACUCAUAAGAUUUUAUUAUGCCCUGUAUAAUUUGUUAUUUUUAACAUACCUUUCUCAAUUAAAACAACAGCAAUAAUUUCAUCUUAAAGCUUUUAUUAAAAACUAGUAAACACAUAUUAAGUCGUGACUGUAAUAUAUGACGGAAACUUUAGCAUUACAUUUUUCAAGAAAACAUUUUAGUAGAAAUUUAUUUGCACAACAAAUCGUAGAAAAUCUAAUUUAAUUACAUGUACAUGAUGCUGAUAAAUGAUAACUUUGUAGAGAAGAUACGAUUCAAUACUUCUUUAAAAAGGAGCCAUGAUGUUUUAAUCUUGAGGCUUGUCCUCCAAAUUAUCUGUUAAAAUGUUUCAUUAAUUAAACAUGUACUUUAUUCUUACAACUUAACUGUGUUAUUUACAUGUUAUUCCCUAUUAUGCUUCAUUUUAUUAUUUUUCAUAUUGAUGACUCAUUGAUUACUGUAAAAUCUGUCCUAGUUUUAACACAUUAUGUAUGUAAAAAAGUUAUUCUAUGGUUUUCUAGUCGAUUCAAUCAACAGGGUGUUAACAUUAUUUUAGUCUCGGUUAUUCUGGGCAUUUACGGCAUACAGUCUAACCUGCACUAACGGUCACCUCUGAUCAGCGGUCAUUUUCUGACGCCCCUGACGGAUUUUCCUCUAUUUCAUCACUUUAUUCAGCGUCCACCGAAAUUGCCUCACGACCGCCGUAUUUGACCCCUUUCAGCGGCCAUGUUUCUUCCAAAACCAAUUAUUUUUAUGCGAUAAUCGCCGAAGAUACCCUAUUUUUGAUACACGUGAUUGCUAAGUUUCCCCUGACUUCACCACAAGAACGACAAAAUGACAUGAGCUUCCCAAUUAAAACUGAUAACCAAAGGUGUGAUCCCCUUUUUGUUACGUCAAGUGGCCAGUAAUUAUCGGCAAUUAGCGUGUCACCUCGUGUCAAUUUUGUUGUUCACAGUUUGAUCUCGGUUAAAGAUAAUACUCGAUAUCUAAUUAGUAGCAUAAUAUUUGUGUUCUUUUAUAUAUUUUAUCAAAAUACGUUUAAAUUUAUCAUGUUUGAACGAAAUGUAAACCACUCGAUCUUUUGCGGAACGUAACGGCAAUCUUAGAUUUUAGCGUAGACAGUAAGCGCGGAGAGUAGCUUCCCUUACCAAAAUGGCGAAAAUUGAAAACAAACUUGAUUUGAAAUUUGAAAAUUGUCUGUAACAAAACAGAUGACGCCGGAGUUUUUGAUUGCUAAGAAGACCAUUCGUAUUGCGAAGGCAAAUGCACAUCAAUGUAUACUGGUAAGAUAAUACUAGAAACCCGAAAAAGAAAUUGGCCUUAAGGCUAACUAAGCUGGUCAGAAGUCUGAAAAAUACAUAUCCUGGCUGCACCUCCGAUCAGUGGUCACGUAGCUUAAGCGCCCAAAUUGUCUGCUUCCCCUGGCUGGCUGCUUAAGACAGGUUAGACUGUAUUCCUUUUUACUACUGGUGAUAGAUGAAAGUGCUGGGAUCAUCCAUAUUGCUUUAAAUUGGAAGCUGUGGAUAGGGCAGAACCUAAGCAAGAUCUUAAUGAAAUUUUUUCCUGAUUAUCCUAAUAGCAAAUUUGCAAGAUUGGACAUGUUUAGAUUGAUUUACGUUAACAUUGUGGAUUUAAAACUUUAUCUUAAAGUAGAGGAUUUAUACUCUGUGGAUACAUUUAAUUCAGUUUGGAUUUUACAACAUGCAUGUAUCGGACAACUUUUUUGCAUUGAGAUAAGUUCUUCCUGCAAUAAUCCAGUUCUAAUUGGAAAUUAAGUAUUUAUCAAUGGUUUGAUAGGUAGGACUAUCUGCAAGAGCAGCUUCAUGGAAAUAAAUAGGAAGUUUCUGAAAAGCUUAAAUAGCAUGCCUCAGAAUGAUCAAAUCAAGACUUAAGUAAUACACUUGCGUUAUUUUUAAUAGGUUUUCAUAAUUUCAAUUUUAGAUACUAUCUUUAUAAUAAAAUUGUAUGAUAUAAUGAAGCAUUCAAUUUCUUUUUUAAUAUAUUACGUGUGUUUCAUGUAUAUCAUGUAAUAAAAUCAAAGAAUGUUUUAUUGUAUAAAACUGUAUCAUAUAAAACUUUCUCAUCCUUCAGGUGUGGAGGUGUUAUGUACAUGUCAUUCCCCAAUGUGUUUCUCUUUCCUAUUGAUGACGCAUUGGAUAUGUAAGGCCUGUCCUAGUUCUAUGGCAUCAUGUAUGUCAAUAAGUUAUUCAUAUUCUAUGAUUUUCUAGAAGAUUCCAUCAUCAUGGUAUCAACAGUAUUUCAAUGUCUGUAUUAUUCUUUUUUUUUUCUAGAAUCUUCCUUUUUUCUUCUUGGUGAUAAAAGAAAGUGAUGGAAUCUUCCAUGAUGCUUUAAAUAGGAACUGUAUGAGGAAGGGCAAUACCUAAGCAAGAUUUUAUUGAAAACUUUCUUGUGUUUCGUAAUAACAGAACAUUGCCAGUUUGGACUUUUAACUUUUGAUUGAUCUACUUUAACAUUGUGGUUUUAUGAAAUUAUCUAUAAAGGGAGAAUUUAUAUUCGGUUUGAAUUUAUUACUUGUUGGGUUUAAACUUGACUAGGACACGAAUUAGACUAUUCUUGCUUAUAAUUAAUGGACUUUUAUUCAUCUCGUGAUUUUCGAAAAUAGUAGUCUCCCUUCUUCAUCUAUCGUUUAUAUGCUCAUGAUGUUUUGAAUCUGGCUGCCACAUUUGUUGUAAUGAAAAUAAAAUUAUAUUAAUUUCUUGUUAAA